GGGUGCAGAUGGGUGGUGUGAGCACAGGUGGGUGCUGUGGGCAUGAGUGGGUGCUGUGGGGUGCAGAUGGGCACGGUGGGUGCCCAAGCAGCUGAGGGGUGCAGCACAGAGCAAACACACCCCCCCCCCAACAACACCCCACCCCAGAAGAACUGGGGGGGCACCGGGGAUCCGGGUGGCCCCAGGCCCUGAACUGGUCACUGGGUGCUGGGGAGCGGAGAGCUUGGGGUGGUUUUGAGGGGGGAUUUUUUGCCGUGGGAGUGGGGGGAGCCGGAUGCUGCGAGAAGCAUCCUCGGUCCUCGGCCUGGCCCCCCCACCCCCCCGUCACCCUGUCCCAGUUUUGGGGGGGCCCCAGCGGGAUGGGAACCGGGGGGGGGGGGGUUCAACCCAGGCGCGAGCCUGGAUGUCCUCGGAAAUUUCCUCAGCCACCCCCAGGGGGAAGGACAAACCCUUCCCGCCUCCAACCCUCCCACCCAACUGCGAAAUAACGAUGAUAAUAGUAAUAAUAAAAAAUCAAUAAACAUUUAUUCGAUACAGCUGUUUUUAAUACAUACAGUACAUCGAGUUACCCCUCCGCGGUGCUCGGCGGCGCGGCUGUUAAGAGCUGCUGUUACAGUACUCUCCAACUGAGGAUUUGUCAAUGAUUAACAAAAAGAACAGAUCGUCACAAAUCGGGAGUUUAUUAUAAGAUAGUUUACUGUUAAAACAAUUUUUAUUUUUUGCAAAUAAACACUUUUUAAUAUAUAUAUUUAUAUAUUUAUAUAUAUGGUUACAAGUGAUAAAUUGAAAAUUCUUUUUUUUUUUUUCUUUUUUUUUUUUUUUUUUUUCCAUUUUCUUUUUUUUCCCCAAAAUACACUUAUGCACUAAUAACUGGCAUCGACGAGAAACAUUCGGAUAUGCCGUGGGAUGGGUGUCACGAGGAGAGAAAGAAAAGAACAAAACGCUCCCAAGGUUGACGGGCGCGAGCGAUGCAACCCCAGCGCGGCCGGACUCUGCCCUCGCUCCCUGCCUGGGGGGGGCACAGCCGACCCCGCCGGGUGCUGCCAAGGGUCUCGUGCCCCCCACCCCCCAGGUUUUGGGGGAUGGCCCCCCCCAGGUUCCUCCCGUGGGGUCGCAGCCCUCCCGUCCCCCACCCCACGGAGGUUUAGCCCUUUCCUCGGGGACGUGGGCGACGGGACGGUGGUGGGUCUCCGCAGCGGGUGGGGACGGGGUGUUGCUGUCUCCAGGGUGCUGCAGAGGCAGGACCCCCCCGGGAGGAGCCGCCACCGACUGUGACCGACCCCCCGCCCCCCCGAGCACCCCGGGAGCGGGGCAGGACUGUGGGGGUGCCACCCCACUGCUCCCUCCCCCUUCACCCGCCUUUACAUUAAGUGUAGGUUAUUCCCCGCUGCCGCAGGGGAUGACCCAGUGGCUCAGACCCCCGGCACAGAGGGCGGGGGGGGGGUGUGCCAGGCAUGGGGGGGGAGGGGGGGCGGGGAGUCCCACGUUGGUGGAUUUGGGGGUCUCCAAACCCCCGUGGGUGAGGGGACGGAAGGGGAGAGGAUGCGCUCGUCCCCUGUCUCACCCCGCAGCCUCCAGGUUACGGCGAGUCUGUCCCCGCUGGCUGCUGCCUCGCGGGGAGCACCCGAACGGGCACAACCCACCGGGCACAACCCACCGGGUGCAACCCACCGGGUGCAACCCACUGGGUGCAACCCAACAGGUACAACCCAACCAGUGCAACCCGAUGGGUUCCACCCAACAAGUACAACCCAACAGGUACAACCCAACGGGUGCAACUCGAUGGGUUCAACCCAACAGGUACAACCCAACAGGUAUAACCUGACAGGUACAACCCGACAGGCACAACCCAACAGGUACAACCCAACAGGUGCAACUCGAUGGCUUCAACCCAACAAGUACAACCCAACAGGCACAACCCAACAGGUACAACCCAACGGGUGCAACUCGAUGGGUUCAACCCAACAGGUACAACCCAACAGGUAUAACCUGACAGGUACAACCCGACAGGCACAACCCAACAGGUACAACCCAACGGGUGCAACUCGAUGGCUUCAACCCACCAGGUACAACCCAACAGGUACAACCCGAUGGGUUCAACCCAACGGGUGCAACUCAAUGGGUUCAACCCAACAGGUACAACCCGACAGGCACAACCCAACAGGUACAACCCAACGGGUGCAACUCGAUGGGUUCAACCCAACAGGUACAACCCAACAGGUACAACCCAACGGGUGCAACUUGAUGGGUUCAACCCAACGGGUACAACCCACCAGGUGCAAUCCAACAGGUAUAACCUGACAGGUACAACCCAACAGGUACAACUCAACGGGUGCAACUCGAUGGGUUCAACCCAACAGGUACAACCCGACAGGUACAACCCAAUGGGUGCAAUCCAACAGGUACAACCCACCGGGCUCCCGCUGCCAGUAUUCCCGGGAUCACCCUGGAGCCUUCCCCGACAAGCAGGAGAGUAAAAGAUGUCUCACGGAGAAGGCGGCGGUGGGAGAACAUAUUCCUCUUGAGUGACGGCUAGUAGGGGAAAAAACACCUUUUAAGGGGAAAAAAAAAAAAAAAAAACCCUGAAGAUUUCACUUUCUCA